UGCGUAGGCGGAAUAUUAAGUCAGUGGUGAAAUCCUGCGGCUCAACCGUAGAACUGCCAUUGAUACUGAUAUUCUUGAAUGUAGUUGAGGUAGGCGGAAUGUGUAAUGUAGCGGUGAAAUGCUUAGAUAUUACACAGAACACCGAUUGCGAUGGCAGCUUACUAAACUAUGAUUGACGCUGAGGCACGAAAGCGUGGGGAGCGAACAGGAUUAGAUACCCUGGUAGUCC
rnacentral:rRNA from 1 species